GAUAACAGUACAACACAACAAAAGGCUAUCUGACCAAGGUAGAUACACAGACGGCCUGCGAUGACAACGGGGAAGUUGAAUAACUAUGUCACCGGAUGCUCACGAUGGAUGUAACUCGCACCUGUUCGCCAGGUCAACGAGUCAGAUGACACUGAACCGUAUUGUCCUCUCUGCUCAACUGCCUGCACAGAUAUAUAUUCAAGAUACGAUUAUUUGGAUGAAAACCGCGAUAAGGUGGAUUUGAUCAUCAGACACUUUGCAGAUGGAUUAAACACGGAUCUGGCUGGACAAGUACAUCAAUUACAUAGGGCCAGUUCAAAUCAGAGACGUCGCUGUCAGCGUGUAUCCUACGAGACAUCAUCAGCACCACGACAUCACCAACAUCGUCAACAUCGUUGUUCAUCAGCUGUGAUUGUCAUGACAACCCAAUCAAUGCAACAGCUAGUUUCAUCUCUGGAGAAGGUCCUCACACCGCAGUCACUCGUGGUGAACGACAUACAGUCUCCAUCUACAGCAGCACUUACAGCGACAUCUUUACCCACGUCAGCAGCAGCGACGUCCACAACGGCUCCCGUCGUUACUUCUACCUAUGAGUCGUUUCCUCCUUUACCAACAACCCCACCUAAACGUGUCGCGGAACAGAGACCCUCCAGUUUUUGGACUGACUACAACAGCGUUGUCCUGACCAUGGCGUAUAUGAAUGAGUAUCCGCUGAUGGCUCCAUAAACAAACACUUAUGGUCGUGACAAGAGAAUAUCUCUGAAGGACCGUUUGUCAUUGGACAAACGCCCUGGUUGAACCAUAACAUAAAUUGUAUUUAGAUUUAUAUUGGUGAGUUUGGGUUAUUCGUUGCUAUCAGCAACAUCCCUGCAAUUGCUGAGAACAACGCAAUAAAUGGGCUUCUGUGUUACGAAUCGACCCGAGUCUUCAGCACGACGAGCAAACGAGUUCCCACCACCCAACAUGAUUUUAAUACAUCAAUGUAGUUUGUAAUAAGUGGUUAAAGGAAAUCCUUAUGCACGUGGCCAACCUUUUGAUAUCUUUCACCGUUAUUAUCACGUUUAUAUGUAUAAUUACAUCUUCCUAAAACCAUUUAAUCCGCGUUAUGUAUCAUUUCCUAUUUUAUUAACAGCCGUUCCAACUUCCGUUGUUUAAUAUACAGCACGACAUGUUUAAUCUUUUCCACUGUUUACGUUUAAAUAAUAAACUUCAGUACAUAACAUC